CUCAGAUCCUGAUGGCUGCUGGGGGCCGCGGCACCUUACGGAAGCCUCGGCUUCGCGCCUUCCCAGGCUGCGCUGCGCAGACAAGGCCGAGGCUGGCGUCCUGAAGUCCCGGAGGUUUCCAUCUUCAUAGGCCUGUGGCGCGGCCAGGACAAAGCUCUGUAUGUAAGACGAGCAGCUUCCAGAGAUGACUGCCUCCCAGGGAGAAGUUUGGGAGAGGGCAGAGGUCUCCUGUUUGGAUUCAGAGCUGGCUGUGUGAGAAGCAGGAGUUGUGUUUUGUGCUGGGAGAGACUGGCAGUCGGGCCUAGCCACCCUAUUUCCCUUCCAGUGACUCGACUCAGCAAUUCCUAAGUACCUAGAUACCAGCA